rnacentral:rRNA from 2 species
GUCGACCUCAGAUCAGGCGAGACAACACCCGCUGAACUUAAGCAUAAUUCAUCUAAGCUGGAUGGAAAAUGAAACCAACAGGGAUUCCCCGAGUAGCUGC